UACGUAGGGGGCUAGCGUUGUCCGGAAUCAUUGGGCGUAAAGAGCGUGUAGGCGGUCCGGUAAGUCCGCUGUGAAAGUCGGGGGCUCAACCCUCGAAUGCCGGUGGAUACUGUCGGGCUAGAGUACGGAAGAGGCGAGUGGAAUUCCUGGUGUAGCGGUGAAAUGCGCAGAUAUCAGGAGGAACACCUAUUGCGAAGGCAGCUCGCUGGGACGUAACUGACGCUGAGACGCGAAAGCGUGGGGAGCAAACAGG
rnacentral:rRNA from 1 species